rnacentral:rRNA from 1 species
AGAGUUUGAUCCUGGCUCAGGAUGAACGCUGGCGGCGUGCCUAAUACAUGCAAGUCGAGCGAACGGACGAGAAGCUUGCUUCUCUGAUGUUAGCGGCGGACGGGUGAGUAACACGUGGAUAACCUACCUAUAAGACUGGGAUAACUUCGGGAAACCGGAGCUAAUACCGGAUAAUAUUUUGAACCGCAUGGUUCAAAAGUGAAAGACGGUCUUGCUGUCACUUAUAGAUGGAUCCGCGCUGCAUUAGCUAGUUGGUAAGGUAACGGCUUACCAAGGCAACGAUGCAUAGCCGACCUGAGAGGGUGAUCGGCCACACUGGAACUGAGACACGGUCCAGACUCCUACGGGAGGCAGCAGUAGGGAAUCUUCCGCAAUGGGCGAAAGCCUGACGGAGCAACGCCGCGUGAGUGAUGAAGGUCUUCGGAUCGUAAAACUCUGUUAUUAGGGAAGAACAUAUGUGUAAGUAACUGUGCACAUCUUGACGGUACCUAAUCAGAAAGCCACGGCUAACUACGUGCCAGCAGCCGCGGUAAUACGUAGGUGGCAAGCGUUAUCCGGAAUUAUUGGGCGUAAAGCGCGCGUAGGCGGUUUUUUAAGUCUGAUGUGAAAGCCCACGGCUCAACCGUGGAGGGUCAUUGGAAACUGGAAAACUUGAGUGCAGAAGAGGAAAGUGGAAUUCCAUGUGUAGCGGUGAAAUGCGCAGAGAUAUGGAGGAACACCAGUGGCGAAGGCGACUUUCUGGUCUGUAACUGACGCUGAUGUGCGAAAGCGUGGGGAUCAAACAGGAUUAGAUACCCUGGUAGUCCACGCCGUAAACGAUGAGUGCUAAGUGUUAGGGGGUUUCCGCCCCUUAGUGCUGCAGCUAACGCAUUAAGCACUCCGCCUGGGGAGUACGACCGCAAGGUUGAAACUCAAAGGAAUUGACGGGGACCCGCACAAGCGGUGGAGCAUGUGGUUUAAUUCGAAGCAACGCGAAGAACCUUACCAAAUCUUGAC